CACGCACUCAUGACAGAAAAUACUGCACAAAUAUGAACGUGAUUAAUCUGCAAGAAUAGCUUCAAAACAGGCAGCAAGUUGUUUGGAGUUUACAGCUCACUUCCCCACCUAACAACCAGUCAAGCUUCCUAAAAUGUAAACCCAGAUCUUUGUAAUUUACCUUUCCCUCCAAGAGCACUGCAAGAUUCCUGGUGGGUCCUGGGAACCACUUCCGUCCUCGUCUUUCUCACGUUGCUAUAUCCCAGCAUCCGGACACCAG